GGAAAGGAAAAUUUAAAAAUAUGCAAUCUUGGGCAGGCCCAGCGGUCUGGGCAACACACCAGCAGCACCUAAAACUUUUAGAUGCUUAAAAACAAAAGGUCAAGCGAUGCAUAAGUUUUUUGAGGAGAGGGUUGGAGUCAGUAUAGAGAGCAAUGCCUCGUCUUCCAAAUACUACGUCGUUUCGUGUUCAAGGUAAGAACUUCUUCCCCUAAUUGCCCAUUACGGAAAUACGAUGUUCUACAGUACUUCAAGUCCCUGCAUACCGUGCCAUCAUACAUCCAUAUUGCACGCGAAUACCACCAAGAUGCAGCCACAUAUCACUAAAUAUAGUCUUCAAAGCAUCCACAAGCAUUAUUAGACUACAUCAACACAGAAGGUGACGUGAUCAAAGAUGGAGUAUACGAGUCGACACUCGGGCGUAAUCAGCAUUCAACCAACGUGUAAUGUGCACAUGGGGCCCAGUUGUUGGUUGUUUAUUAUUUAAUUUGUUGGUUGCUUAUUAAUUAAUCUAUUAGAGUCAGAGUCCAGUUGAGUUGUUAGUUUAAUUAUUUGGGUCCAAUAAUUGUACGUGGGCAUCAGGUUAAGACUUGUUCUUAAUCCGUUGAUUCACAGCCAAGUAUUUUGGCUUAAGAAUAGGUCUUCAGGUUGGGUUAUUAGCUGAAUAUCAGCGUCGUGGUUAUGCUAUUUUUAUGGGUUGAGUCCGUGUAAUUGGGACAGUUGUUAUUUCCAAUUGUAUUUAAGUCUUUCAAGUUAAUGAGAAAAGUAUCAAAACAGUUGCAAUCAGUGAGUAUUGGAGGUUGUGGAUUUCCUCGAAUUAAUCCAACUUUUCCUUUCUAAGCCUCAACCUGACACAACGACGACGUUUGGAAAUAGAUUCUAAGUUCAUCAAACUCUACUAGCGAAUUUCUUCGCAAAUGCAAGGAAUUACAGCCACGGGCAUUCUUCCUACAACUGGCAGCAUUGCAAUGUACAGAAAAUCAUUUAUGGCCUCCUAAACCAGAGACCAUUGAGACAAAUGUCAUUGAUAUUGGAAGGUGGGACUCGUUUGGGGAAGACUCUAUGGGCGAGAUCGAUUGCUUCCCACAAUUACUUUCAUGGAUGGACGGACCUCAGUAACUACUCAAAUGAUGCACGUUAUAAUGUUAUCGAUAACAUUGAGUUCAAACACUGCAAGAAUAAGAAGGAAUUAUUAGGCUCGAAACAAAACUGGACUGCCAACGUGAAGUACGGCAAGCCCAUUAAAAUUGAAGGGGGCAUACCAACCAUUGUUCUAUGUAAUCCAGAUGUUAUGGGCCACAGAAAUGAGCCCAUCAUUUUGUGAUUGGUUUGGUUGUAACACAAUUUAUGCACAUAUAUAUAUAUAUAAGAACCUGAUGACCUGAUGGCAUACAUUUCGAUUCUCCA